UGGGGAAUAUUGGACAAUGGGCGAAAGCCUGAUCCAGCCAUGCCGCGUGUGUGAAGAAGGUCUUCGGAUUGUAAAGCACUUUAAGUUGGGAGGAAGGGCAUUAACCUAAUACGUUAGUGUUUUGACGUUACCGACAGAAUAAGCACCGGCUAACUCUGUGCCAGCAGCCGCGGUAAUACAGAGGGUGCAAGCGUUAAUCGGAAUUACUGGGCGUAAAGCGCGCGUAGGUGGUUUGUUAAGUUGGAUGUG
rnacentral:rRNA from 2 species